UGGGGAAUAUUGCACAAUGGGCGAAAGCCUGAUGCAGCAACGCCGCGUGAGUGAUGAAGGCCUUCGGGUUGUAAAGCUCUGUCUUUUGGGACGAUAAUGACGGUACCAAAGGAGGAAGCCACGGCUAACUACGUGCCAGCAGCCGCGGUAAUACGUAGGUGGCAAGCGUUGUCCGGAUUUACUGGGCGUAAAGGAUGCGUAGGCGGAUUUUUAAGUGAGAUGUGAAAUACCCGGGCUUAACUUGGGUGCUGCAUUUCAAACUGGGAAUCUAGAGUGCGGGAGAGGAGAAUGGAAUCCCUAGUGUAGCGGUGAAAUGCGUAGAGAUUAGGAAGAACACCAGUGGCGAAGGCGAUUCUCUGGACCGUAACUGACGCUGAGGCAUGAAAGCGUGGGUAGCAAACAGGAUUAGAUACCCUGGUAGUCCACGCCGUAAACGAUGAGUACUAGGUGUAGGAGGUAUCGACCCCUUCUGUGCCGCAGUUAACACAAUAAGUACUCCGCCUGGGAAGUACGAUCGCAAGAUUAAAAACUU
rnacentral:rRNA from 1 species